GAGUUUGAUCCUGGCUCAGAUUGAACGCUGGCGGCAUGCCUUACACAUGCAAGUCGAACGGCAGCACGGGAGCUUGCUCCUGGUGGCGAGUGGCGAACGGGUGAGUAAUGCAUCGGAACGUAUCCUGGAGUGGGGGAUAACGUAGCGAAAGUUACGCUAAUACCGCAUAUUCUGUGAGCAGGAAGCGGGGACCUUCGGGCCUCGCGCUCUUGGAGCGGCCGAUGUCAGAUUAGCUAGUUGGUGAGGUAAAGGCUCACCAAGGCGACGAUCCGUAGCAGGUCUGAGAGGAUGAUCUGCCACACUGGAACUGAGACACGGUCCAGACUCCUACGGGAGGCGAGCAGUGGGGUAAGUUUUGGACAAGU
rnacentral:rRNA from 1 species